UACGGAGGGUGCGAGCGUUGUCCGGAAUCAUUGGGCGUAAAGGGCGCGUAGGUGGCCCGGUCAGUUCGUGGUGAAAGCGCGGGGCUCAACCCUGCGUCGACCAUGAAUACUGCCGCGGCUGGAGCACUGUAGAGGCAGGCGGAAUUCCGGGUGUAGCGGUGGAAUGCGUAGAGAUCCGGAAGAACACCGGUGGCGAAGGCGGCCUGCUGGGCAGUUGCUGACACUGAGGCGCGACAGCGUGGGGAGCAAACAGG
rnacentral:rRNA from 1 species